GUGGUCACUUCGUCAGCACAUAGACUAAAAUUGGAAUGAUACAGAGGAGAUUAGUAUGGGUCCUGCACAAGGACGACAUACAAAUUUGUGAAGCGUUCCUUUUUUUU
rnacentral:snRNA from 1 species